rnacentral:rRNA from 1 species
AAUUGAUCCUUGAUAAAGGAUUUAUAUUGUUCUCAUUCCAAUUACGGGGCCUCAUAAGAGUCCCGCAUUGUUAUUUUUCGUCACUACCUCCCCGUACCGGGAUUGGGUAAUUUGCGUGCCUGCUGCCUUCCUUGGAUGUGGUAGCCGUUUCUCAGGCUCCCUCUCCGGAAUCGAACCCUGAUUCCCCGUUACCCGUCACAACCAUGGUAGGCAUUGAACCUACCAUCGACAGUUGAUAAGGCAGACACUUGAAAGAUUUGUCGCUGGCUCAAGGCCAUGCGAUCAGCUAGUAUAUUCAGAGUCACCAACCAUAGAGCCGAAGCCCAUUGGUCUUGGUCUAAUAUAUGCCGAGUUUCCCUUUAGAGUCACCCGUUUAGUGCAUGUAUUAGCUCUAGAAUUACCACAGUUAUCCAUGUAAGAUAGUCAACAUCUAAUAAAUCGUAACUGAUUUAAUGAGCCAUUCGCGGUUUCACUUUAUUUUUGUUUGUACUUAGACAUGCAUGGCUUAAUCUUUGAGACAAGCAUAUGACUA